rnacentral:rRNA from 1 species
CAAUAGCGUAUAUUAAAGUUGUUGCAGUUAAAAAGCUCGUAGUUGGAUUUGUGGCGUACGGUGUGUUCCGGGCACUUGUUGUCUGAGUAACCUGCUGUUGCCAUCCUUGGGUGGAACCUGUGUGGCAUUAGGUUGUCGCGCAGGGGAUGCCCAUCAUUUACUGUGAAAAAAUUAGAGUGUUCAAAGCAGGCUUAUGCCGUUGAAUAUAUUAGCAUGGAAUAAUGAGAUAGGACUUUUUUGCUAUUUUGUUGGUUUGCGCAAGAAGGUAAUGAUUAAUAGGGACAGUUGGGGGUAUUCGUAUUCCAUUGUCAGAGGUGAAAUUCUUGGAUUUUUGGAAGACGAACUACUGCGAAAGCAUUUACCAAGGAUGUUUUCAUUAA